UCUAACGUGGCAGAUAAGUGCGUUGGAUUUAAGCUCCACGUAUAAAGUUGCAAAACUUUCAUUAGAA
rnacentral:tRNA from 1 species